rnacentral:rRNA from 1 species
AAAAGUGAAAGACGGUCUUGCUGUCACUUAUAGAUGGAUCCGCGCUGCAUUAGCUAGUUGGUAAGGUAACGGCUUACCAAGGCAACGAUGCAUAGCCGACCUGAGAGGGUGAUCGGCCACACUGGAACUGAGACACGGUCCAGACUCCUACGGGAGGCAGCAGUAGGGAAUCUUCCGCAAUGGGCGAAAGCCUGACGGAGCAACGCCGCGUGAGUGAUGAAGGUCUUCGGAUCGUAAAACUCUGUUAUUAGGGAAGAACAUAUGUGUAAGUAACUGUGCACAUCUUGACGGUACCUAAUCAGAAAGCCACGGCUAACUACGUGCCAGCAGCCGCGGUAAUACGUAGGUGGCAAGCGUUAUCCGGAAUUAUUGGGCGUAAAGCGCGCGUAGGCGGUUUUUUAAGUCUGAUGUGAAAGCCCACGGCUCAACCGUGGAGGGUCAUUGGAAACUGGAAAACUUGAGUGCAGAAGAGGAAAGUGGAAUUCCAUGUGUAGCGGUGAAAUGCGCAGAGAUAUGGAGGAACACCAGUGGCGAAGGCGACUUUCUGGUCUGUAACUGACGCUGAUGUGCGAAAGCGUGGGGAUCAAACAGGAUUAGAUACCCUGGUAGUCCACGCCGUA